CCUACGGGUGGCAGCAGUAGGGAAUAUUUCUCAAUGGGGGAAACCCUGAUGCAGCAACGCCGCGUGGAGGAUGAAGGUUUUCGGUUUGUAAACUCCUUUUCUUAGCGAAGAUAAUGACGGUAUCUAACGAAUAAGCCCCGGCUAACUCCGUGCCAGCAGCCGCGGUCAUACGGAGGGUGCGAGCGUUACUCGGAAUCACUGGGCGUAAAGAGCGCGUAGGCGGGAUAGCAAGUCAGAUGUGAAAUCCUAUGGCUUAACCAUAGAACUGCAUUUGAAACUGUUAUUCUAGAGUAUGUGAGAGGUAGGUGGAAUUCUUGGUGUAGGGGUAAAAGCCGUAGAGAUUAAGAGGAAUACUCAUUGCGAAGGCGACCUGCUAGAACAUAACUGACGCUGAUGCGCGAAAGCGUGGGGAGCAAACAGGAUUAGAUACCCCAGUAGUC
rnacentral:rRNA from 1 species